rnacentral:rRNA from 1 species
AGGAUGAACGCUGGCGGCGUGCCUAAUACAUGCAAGUCGAGCGGUAAGGCCUCUUCGGAGGUACACGAGCGGCGGACGGCUGAGUAACACGUAGGAACGUACCCCAAACUGAGGGAUAAGCACCAGAAAUGGUGUCUAAUACCGCAUGUGCUCUUAGGAGUAAAGCUUCGGCGGUUUGGGAACGGCCUGCGCAAGAUUAGCUUGUUGGUGAGGUAAUAGCUCACCAAGGCGAUGAUCUUUAGCUGGUCUGAGAGGAUGACCAGCCAGACUGGGACUGAGAACGGCCCAGACUCCUACGGGAGGCAGCAGUAGGGAAUCUUCCACAAUGGGCGAAAGCCUGAUGGAGCAACGCCGCGUGCAGGAUGAAGGUCUUCGGAUUGUAAACUGCCUUUAUCUGUGACGAUUGUGACGGUAGCAGAUGAAUAAGGAUCGGCUAACUCCGUGCCAGCAGCCGC